AUAAUGGUGGUGGUGGUAGUAGUGGUAAUGAUGAUAAUGGUGGUGGUAGUAGUGGUAAUGAUGGUGGUGGUGGUGGUAGUAGUAGUGGUACUGAUGGCGGUGGUGGUGGUAGUAGUAGUGGUAAUGAUGAUGGUGGUGGUAGUAGUGGAAAUGAUGAUGGUGGUGGUAGUAGUAGUGGUAAUGAUGAUGAUGGUGGUAGUAGUAGUGGUAAUGAUGAUGAUGGUAGUAGAAGUGGUAAUGAUGAUGAUGGUGGUAGUAGUGGUAAUGAUGAUGGUGGUAGUAGUGGUAAUGAUGAUGGUGGUAGUAGUGGUAAUGAUGAUGGUGGUAGUAGUGGUAAUGAUGAUGGUGGUAGUAGUGGUAAUGAUGAUGGUGGUGGUAGUAGUGGUAAUGAUGAUGGUGGUGGUAGUAGUGGUAAUGAUGAUGGUGGUGGUAGUAGUGGUAAUGAUGAUGGUGGUGGUAGUGGUAAUGAUGAUGGUGGUAGUAGUAGUGGUAAUGAUGAUGU
ensembl:lncRNA